GAUGAACGCUGGCGGCGUGCCUAAUACAUGCAAGUCGAGCGGUAACACUUCGGGUGACGAGCGGCGGACGGCUGAGUAACGCGUAGGAACGUACCCCAAACUGAGGGAUAAGCACCAGAAAUGGUGUCUAAUACCGCAUAUGGUCUUCGGAUUAAAGCUUCGGCGGUUUGGGAACGGCCUGCGUAUGAUUAGCUUGUUGGUGAGGUAAAAGCUCACCAAGGCGACGAUCAUUAGCUGGUCUGAGAGGAUGAUCAGCCAGACUGGGACUGAGACACGGCCCAGACUCCUACGGGAGGCAGCAGUAGGGAAUCUUCCACAAUGGGCGAAAGCCUGAUGGAGCAACGCCGCGUGCAGGAUGAAAGCCUUCGGGUCGUAAACUGCUUUUAUAUGCGAAGACUUCGACGGUAGCAUAUGAAUAAGGAUCGGCUAACUCCGUGCCAGCAGCCGC
rnacentral:rRNA from 1 species